rnacentral:rRNA from 1 species
UGGGGAAUAUUGGACAAUGGGCGCAAGCCUGAUCCAGCCAUGCCGCGUGAGUGAUGAAGGCCCUAGGGUUGUAAAGCUCUUUCACCGGUGAAGAUAAUGACGGUAACCGGAGAAGAAGCCCCGGCUAACGUCGUGCCAGCAGCCGCGGUAAUACGAAGGGGGCUAGCGUUGUUCGGAUUUACUGGGCGUAAAGCGCACGUAGGCGGACUUUUAAGUCAGGGGUGAAAUCCCGGGGCUCAACCCCGGAACUGCCUUUGAUACUGGAAGUCUUGAGUAUGGUAGAGGUGAGUGGAAUUCCGAGUGUAGAGGUGAAAUUCGUAGAUAUUCGGAGGAACACCAGUGGCGAAGGCGGCUCACUGGACCAUUACUGACGCUGAGGUGCGAAAGCGUGGGGAGCAAACAGG